rnacentral:rRNA from 1 species
CCUACGGGAGGCAGCAGUGAGGAAUAUUGGUCAAUGGACGAGAGUCUGAACCAGCCAAGUAGCGUGAAGGAUGACUGCCCUAUGGGUUGUAAACUUCUUUUAUAUGGGAAUAAAACGUUCCACGUGUGGGAUUUUGUAUGUACCAUAUGCAUAAGGAUCGGCUAACCCUGUGCCAGCAGCCGCGGUAAUACGGAGGAUCCGAGCGUUAUCCGGAUUUAUUGGGUUUAAAGGGAGCGUAGGUGGAUUGUUAAGUCAGUUGUGAAAGUUUGCGGCUAAACCGGAAAAUUGCAGUUGAAACUGGCAGUCUUGAGUACAGUAGAGGUGGGCGGAAGUCGUGGUGUAGAGGUGAAAUGCUUAGAUAUCACGAAGAACUCCGAUUGCGAAGGCAGUUCACUGGACUGCAACUGACACUGAGGCUCGAAAGUGUGGGUAUCAAACAGGAUUAGAUACCCUGGUAGUC